CUAACAGUCACACACUAACAGUCACUGAGACACUAACAGUCACUCGGACACUAACAAUCACACUAGCAGCCACACACUAACAGUGACACACUAACUGUCACACACUAACACUCACUGAGACACUAACAGUCACUCACUAACAGUCAUUCAGACACUAACACUCACCGAGACACUAACAGUCACACACUUACACUCACUGAGACACUAACAGUAACUCGGACACUAACACUCAC